rnacentral:rRNA from 1 species
GAUGAACGCUGGCGGCGUGCCUAAUACAUGCAAGUCGAGCGAACAGACGAGGAGCUUGCUCCUCUGACGUUAGCGGCUGACGGGUGAGUAACACGUGGAUAACCUACCUAUAAGACUGGGAUAACUUCGGGAAACCGGAGCUAAUACCGGAUAAUAUAUUGAACCGCAUGGUUCAAUAGUGAAUGACGGUUUUGCUGUCACUUAUAGAUGGAUCCGCGCCGCAUUAGCUAGUUGGUAAGGUAACGGCUUACCAAGGCAACGAUGCGUAGCCGACAUGAGAGGGGGAUCGGCCACACUGGAACUGAGACACGGAACAGACUCCUACGGGAGGCAGCAGUAGGGAAUAUUCCGCAAUGGGCGAAAGCCUGACGGAGCAACGCCGCGUGAGUGAUGAAGGUCUUAGGAUCGUAAAACUCUGUUAUUAGGGAAGAACAAAUGUGUAAGUAACUAUGCACGUAUUGACGGUACCUAAUCAGAAAGCCACGGCUAACUACGUG